rnacentral:rRNA from 1 species
UUAAGAACAUUAAUUAUAAAGUCAUACUCCGAAAGGUUUAUCUUUUAAAUCAUUAAAAAGUAAUUAUAAAUAAUGUACCUUUUGCAUCAGGGGUUAAGAAAUAAGAUUAUUAAAUUAAUAACCUCCCGAAAGAAGCAGGAUCUUAAACUUUAUUGUUGGUUGUUGUUUCAUUAACAUUAAUAAUAAUAUUUAAGAAGCUAAAAGUUAUAACGACUCUUCUGAUCACCUGGUUUGCUAUUUAGUGUUUUUUAAGAAGGCAGAGAGUUAAUUGAAGUUUAAGCACUUUAUUAUUUUCUUUUAAUUAUAAAGGGACAAGCUUUUAUAACUUUAGGAAGAUCAAUUUAUAGCUUAUCUUCAUGACAAGAUAGACGUUAUUUAUCUAUUUAUAGAUCUACCUUUAGAAUAGCAUCUUUAGUGAAAUAAUUUUUAACUAUAAAAAUAAUCUUAACAUUAGUACUUCAAUAAAUCAAUUAUUAAAAGGAACUAGGCAAACAUUUAGCCGGACUGUUUAAUAAAAACAUUUCCUCUUGCAUAAAAGGGAGGUAAAGUCUGCUCGGUGUAAUUGAUUAACAGCUGCAGUAACUUGACUGUACAAAGGUAGCGUAAUCACUUGUCUUUUAAUUGAAGACUAGAAUGAACGGCUUAACCAAGCUAAUUCUGUCUCUUUU